AUUCAGUUGACGAGUCCCGGUUAGGAUGAAAUGCGCGUCCUAAAU
rfam:Schistosoma haematobium scaffold156_19, whole genome shotgun sequence.